rnacentral:rRNA from 1 species
GAUGAACGCUGGCGGCGUGCCUAAUACAUGCAAGUCGAGCGAACGGACGAGAAGCUUGCUUCUCUGAUGUUAGCGGCGGACGGGUGAGUAACACGUGGAUAACCUACCUAUAAGACUGGGAUAACUUCGGGAAACCGUAGCUAAUACCGGAUAAUAUUUUGAACCGCAUGGUUCAAAAGUGAAAGACGGUCUUGCUGUCACUUAUAGAUGGAUCCGCGCUGCAUUAGCUAGUUGGUAAGGUAACGGCUUACCAAGGCAACGAUGCAUAGCCGACCUGAGGGGGGGUUCGGCCCCCCGGGAGCUGAGCGCCGUCCCCGCCCCCGAGGGGGGGCAGCGGCUGGUAAUCUUCCGAAAUGGGGGAAAGCGUGCCGGAGGGACGCCGGGUGGGUGAUGAAGCUCUGCGGUUUGUAAAACCUUUUUUUUGGGGAAAACCAUUUUUGUAGGUACCUGGGCCCUCUUUGCGGUUCCCUAAUAAGAAGCCCCGGCUAACUUCGUG